rnacentral:rRNA from 1 species
GCCAGACUCCUACGGGAGGCAGCAGUGGGGAAUAUUGCACAAUGGGGGAAACCCUGAUGCAGCGACGCCGCGUGAGCGAUGAAGUAUUUCGGUAUGUAAAGCUCUCUCAGCAGGGAAGAAAAUGACGGUACCUGACUAAGAAGCCCCGGCUAACUACGUGCCAGCAGCCGCGGUAAUACGUAGGGGGCAAGCGUUAUCCGGAUUUACUGGGUGUAAAGGGAGCGUAGACGGCUGUGCAAGCCAGAUGUGAAAGCCCGGGGCCCAACCCCGGGACUGCUCUUGGAACUGCGUGGCUGGAGUGCAGGAGGGGCAGGCGGAAUUCCUGGUGUAGCGGUGAAAUGCGUAGAUAUCAGGAGGAACACCGGUGGCGAAGGCGGCCUGCUGGACUGCAACUGACGUUGAGGCCCGAAAGCGUGGGGAGCAAACAGGAUUAGAUACCCUGAUA